UACAGAGGGGGCAAGCGUUGUUCGGAAUUACUGGGCGUAAAGGGCGCGUAGGCGGCCUUCUAAGUCGAACGUGAAAUCCCUGGGCUCAACCCAGGAACUGCGUCCGAUACUGAAAGGCUUGAAUCCGGGAGAGGGAUGCGGAAUUCCAGGUGUAGCGGUGAAAUGCGUAGAUAUCUGGAGGAACACCGAUGGCGAAGGCAGCCCCCUGGGCUAGCACUGACGCUCAGGCACGAAAGCGUGGGGAGCAAACAGG
rnacentral:rRNA from 1 species